GACGAACGCUGGCGGCGUGCUUAACACAUGCAAGUCGAACGGAAAGGCUCCAGCUUGCUGGAGUACUCGAGUGGCGAACGGGUGAGUAACACGUGGGUAAUCUGCCCUGCACUCUGGGAUAAGCCUGGGAAACUGGGUCUAAUACUGGAUAUGACCUUUCUCCUUAUGGGGUUUGGUGGAAAGUUUUUCGGUGUAGGAUGAGCCCGCGGCCUAUCAGCUUGUUGGUGGGGUGAUGGCCUACCAAGGCGACGACGGGUAGCCGGCCUGAGAGGGUGAUCGGCCACAUUGGGACUGGGAUACGGCCCAGACUCCUACGGGAGGCAGCAGUGGGGAAUAUUGCACAAUGGGCGGAAGCCUGAUGCAGCGACGCCGCGUGAGGGAUGACGGCCCUCGGGUUGUAAACCUCUUUCAGCAGGGACGAAGCGUAAGUGACGGUACCUGCAGAAGAAGCACCGGCUAACUAUGUG
rnacentral:rRNA from 1 species